GUGCUUCCUUUGGCAGUACAUAUGAUAAAAUUAGAAUGAUGCAUAGAAGAUUAGCUUCUGUGCAAGAACAACAUGCAAAUUUGUCAAGUAUUCUAUACCUUG